CAGCUGCAAAGAGGCUUGCGUGGCUUCCCAUAGUCAACAGAAGCAGUGGGCCUCUGGGUGGCCAGGCCUCUUCCUCUAGCUGUUUCAGCUCUGCCCCCACAGAACCCCAUUUACUGUAAACGCCCUGCACCACCCACACCCAAAGUGCUUUCUCUCGGGCAGUCCUGGGUGGCGGCAGAUUGUGAGGAAGGAACAUCUCCCAAGUCUUGGUCCUUGAAUCUCCUAAAUCAAUGGCUCAGCCCCCACCUCAGCAGCUUCUCACAAAGGCUAUGGUUUCCAGUGACAACUGGAAAAAGCAGUGUGGUUGGAGGGCCAAGAGAUUUUGUUGGAACUUCCAUCUGGAUCCUCAGAGGCCACCUGGGACUGACCAACUGCUCACAUUAGGAAGACGAAGUCUCCAUUUCAACUGUCACGGCUAGCAAAGCCACAAGGCAACCCCGCACCAGGGGCCGAAUGCCAAGGACGUGCCAAACCCCCAAAGGAUGUGCACCCACCUGCUCUCCUCGGGCCCACCUCCCAGCCAGAGCAUGGGCCCACUGAGUGCCAGCCAGAGGAGUACUGGAUUAAGACGGAGAAGAUUUGGAUUCAAGUCCUAUCUUCGUGACUCAUCGGGGGGGCCAGACCUUUCUUAUCUGUGAAUACGAGAAAAUGGUCGCUCCAGGCACAUUUGGGGGCAGCACAGUAAUCUGUCCCUGUAGAAUUCGCGAGAUUGCCAAGCUUCCAGGAGACUGGUCUUUACAGCUUCGCAAGCAGUCCAGUUUACAAAACACUCCCCCAGACCUUCUAACAACCGUCCGGGUUUCUGCUUGGCAGUCUCUGCGUUCUCAGAGUCUUUCCAAUUCUUCAUUUGAAUUCUGUCCAUAGCACAGUUUAAAUCCAUUUCCUUUUCUGUGGGCCUCCGAAGUUGAAACCAGUAUCGCAGAAUCCUCAGCAAUUCCGGCUUUUUCAGAGGAGGACAGUGUGCUGGAGAGGCCCCUUCCGUGACGACGACACGGCCGACGGCAAGAGCUCACGGUUUUCAAGCUCAUGGUUAUCAAGGUGCUUGGCCUUUGCUGCUGGUACCUCCCCCUGAGGCCCAGGGACCCCACCAGGUGGCCACCACGGGCCCCAUUAUCCUGGAGCUUGGCGAGGCCUGGUGACCUUCCAAUGGCCUCUUCCAGUACCUGGAAUUUCCCCUUCAGAGCUGGUGACUGGUGGGUCAGGGCGGGGCACAUACAAGGACACCUCCAAAGCCUGUGUGUGAUCCUCACCCCUCCGUGCUCACCCCUCCUUCUUGUCUACUUCCAUUGUUGCUAUGCCCUUAAAGGACAAGUACCAGCCCCCGAUUCAAAAGAAAUCAGAAACCCUGCCACUAUGAACAGUUACCUGCACGCACCCCUGUCAGCCUCCAGCUGGUGGAAAAGAAGGUGACAACUGUGAAAUGACUGGGGACCAAUGGCCACAAACCUCUCUGGCUUCAAGCCAGCCCAUCCAUGGGUUAUUAUCUUUCUGGGGCUGAAACUCUACCUUCUGAUGGUUCCCCCUAUGUCAUCUGGGGAUUCACCCUUGCAGCCCCCAAGCUCAAAACAACGUUCUGUGUUGUUCAUCCAGCAGCCUGGAAGCUCAAGACCUAGGUUACUUUACUGCCUGGGGAGCCCUGGGGCAGAUUCCCCUGAGCCUCAGUUUCCCCACUGGACCACCGAGGAGAAUAAAGCUCUUUGUCACUUGUGCUUAA